UUUUUUUUUCUCGUGGGGCUGCAGGGCAAAAUUACAGCAGGAACCAAAUGAGCUGUACAUGAAUAAGGCACUAAUAAUAAUUGAGCAAAGAUGAGGCAUGCGAAACCAAUGAGGAGGCCACGGAAAAAACAAGUUGUACAUGAAGGCACUGGUAAUUGGGCAAAGUUGAUGUAUACUGUACUAUUCAGCAAGGAACCGCAAACUACUUGGGGGAAGAAAAACAAGCAAGCAAACAAAAAAAAACCCUCUCCACAAAACCCUGUUCUGUUCAGGGGGGCCAGGAUGAAUGCCCUUCGCACAUAGAUGGCUGACGGCUACAUACAUGAUACAUUGCAUAAUCGGAGAGUAUAAGGAGCGAAAUCCCACCCCGAAUCAUGAGCGCACGCACAGGGAGCAACAAUCAUCAGUAACAAAGGCCGGCGGGGGCAUGAUCGAUCGAUGGAUCGAUACCCGCUACAGUAAGAGAAGAGCAGCCCACCCAAAUUGUGGGGUUUUGCGGUCGGUGGAGCAAAAGCAAGGAUGUGGGGGGGAAUGCGGUUUGGGGUAGUGGUACCCUACCUUGAAAUCGCUCUGCUUUUGCUGUGGUUGCUUGCUCCAAGCAGGGAAGAGGAGGAGGAACGGGGGGGCGAUCGCCAACUGCACUGCACUGAAAUCCUCCUGCUGGAGCGAGCGGACUGCUCCGACGAAGGGCUUGGAGGAGUGGACUGCUCCGCCUCCGGCCUCCGCUUGCGUUGUCGUGGUGAUUGGUGAACAAGGGAACGAGGAUUCCAAGCAAGCAAGGGCGAUGGGAGAGGGGUCAAAGUAAAAAGUCUGGCUGGCAGGGUCGGGUGGGUAGAAAAGCGAUGCCGCUUUUACUGCUGUGUGUGAUGCGUGUCUCAGUAUCCAUGUCAGGAGAGAAACAACAAGGCCUGGCCCACCCGAUAGCCUCACAGGCUCCUGCAAAGGAAGCGGUUUCCGUUGUGGGACCCGCAGGCCCGCUGCUACGGCCCAUGGGCUAAGCCCUGCUUCAGUUUUCUCCUCCUCUUCUUUCAUUACCAGCUUCUUUCUUUCUUUCUCUGUUGGGUUUGAGAACUGAAUGAACUGAACGCUCAAAUCCCAGGGAUCAACCAUAAUUAACAAACCAUAACACAGUCUGUCUGAUUAGUCCAGCCCCAUUGAGGAUCAUGCACAAACUGAGACUGCAUUGUAUACUUGUUUCCACGAUUAGCAUACGAGAAUCAACACUGACGUAUCAUCCGACCCUGCAUUUACAUCCACAUGGCAGCAAUGUGAUGCUGCCUUCAAAAUUCCAAACCACUAUGCAUAUGUCCAUCACAACUCUCAGCAAAUCAAAAUAAACACAAGAACCAUAAGCUCAACUGCUCAAGGCAUGGCAUGCACACGUCAUGUGAUGUUUUGCUUCAAAGUUGAGCACUGUCCUGUUUCUCCACACCUCUCUCCACAUUCUCCAUUGCCUGCUGCACUGUUGACACAAUGACAAGGGAAAAUGACGGCAGCAAAAUAGAAAAACAAAAGUACAGUAUAACACUCAUCUCCCUAACUCAGUUAUUGUAAAGCCAAUGCUCCAGUGUGCACAUAAUUUUAGCUAGGCCAGUUCCAGUGUGCACUUCCAAAGGCUAUACCUUUUUGACACAUGCGGCUAUAAUGUCCAUUAGAAAGACUUUCCUAUGAGCCGGUCAUCAUACGACCAGAGUAAGCUUUUUAGGAUAGGAUCCUCUGCCGAGGCUACCCUCUUACUCACUGGUCCAACCUUAAUUUGUUGCUAGACUCACUUUAGUUAUUUUUUUAUGUUGUUUUUAAAAGUACUCUCACUCUUCCCCGUAGAAUUUGUGUAUCAUGAUAUGAAUUAGUGUACAUGGGGCUCAUGACAUCAAGGAGGGCUUAAAAUCAUUAGAAUGAGUUAAACAAGGAAAUAAAAGAAAUAUGCGAAAUUCAUAAGGUAAACAAGUUAUUAUCUUGGUUUAUUUUAUUAAUAAGCUUGGGAUCAAAAUAUGAUGAUGAUUUGUGGGACUUGCCUUCCUCGUAGUCGGGGUCUUUUAAAGCUUCAUCUUCGUAAUCUGGGUCGUCAAACACGUUUCUGGAGUUGUCGUUUUCUACAUAAUUGUAGUAUACGUAAGGAAAUUAAUCAAGCAAACAAUCAUAGCAGUACAUCAAACAUAAGUUAAAAGGGCAAAGUUGGGGUUUAUAAGGCUUGGGUAAUUUUCUAGGAUUAAUUUGGGAUGGUUUUUCCUAUUUUGGCCAUAUAAAAUAUGGACCUUUUUAUUAUAGAAAAAGGGAUGGAGAUUUAUUUUAGGAGCUAUAGGGUUGAGAUUUGGGUAAAGAUGGUAUGUCUAGGCUUGAAAUGGGUUCUAAUCUUUUUGGUGAAUUUUUGAAGGAAAGAAAUAGGAAAGUGGAAUUUUGGUGUACGCUAGUGGAGCUUUUUUCAAUUGGCUGGAAAGGGUUGAAUUUAAUUUCUAACAUUAAUAAUGUGCAAAAGGGAUUUGGAUGAAUUUGUUGGGUUUGUGGAUUUGUCUAGUAUUUGUGGAUAACAGUGUCUGUGCUUACUACUAAGAUGGAGGUGUCUGUGCUUACUACUAAGAUGGAGAAGAAAUCAAGCAUAGGAUGGGAAUGAGAUUGGUACCUUGGCGGGUCUCGAGCCUCAGCCGCUGUCUUCAGUUGGGACAAGAGCGUGUCCACAAAAGUGCUUCCAAUACUCGCGCCGCUAUCGGUCUAGACAUCUUUGAUGUGGUUGCGGUAGUAGGACUCUGCUCCUCCAGCAUUACCUUGCCCCCUCCUUUUGAAGUAGGAGUGGCCCCUGAGUAGGAUGACAAGCUCAGGGUGAGCCCUGCUGAUGUCGCCUCGAUGUCAACCGCAGCAUUUACAGCUUCUCCGUUGUGAACCAUCACGGCCAGAAUCUCAAGCACGCAAUCCCACUCCUGUUGACGCAAACAGUCCUGCAAGUCAUCAGCUCCAAAAUUUACAGGGUAGAAGAACAAGGAGGUGAAUGGAGAGAUUGUUUUUGAAAGAUGAGAUGCAUCACACAUAUUUACACAAUGGUUGUUUCUCCAGCAUCAAUCCAUGCAUAAUGUUGCAUAAUCAGAUUGCAGUGUGGAUUAUGUGACCAUGAUAAAUUUUAGAGCAGGGUGAUGGCGAUGGAUUUUGUCACUUUGUACAAUUCUGAUCCAGCAGUAGCAAGGCAACAACGAGCUGUAUAAUGCAGUAGCAAAUUUGUCACUACAUCUAGAUAGGAGGGAAUUGCAUGCGUUGGAUUACGAUCCAGCAGAGUCAAAGUGAAAUUCAAGCAUAAAACAAGUUUGGAUCCACCUCUCCAUGCAACAGCAGAGUUAUUAAUUGUUUAUCCAUCAAUCCAUAAUGCUAUACAUUCAAAUUGCAAAUGGCUUGCAUGGAUUUUAGCACAAGGUCACUCAACAGGGUGUAACUAUCUGUCUAAUUUUGGUCACUUGAUGCACGAAUUGAAUUUGUGAUGGAUUUCAUCAUCACUUGAUCUACGAAAUUCAGAUCCAGCAGCAAGCAUAUUGAAUGCAUAUACGUACAUACAACACAGAGAUUGAAUUGGUAGCUGGCUGGUACAUCUAAGCUAGCACCAACCCGGCCAUGAAGCAGUAAGGAGGGCAGUGCGUGCAAUGCAAUCGAUGCUACGCAAGCAGUGCAACGGAGGAACGCAAUUCCACGCAGCUUGCAUGGCACCGCAUGCACGAAGAGAAAUAUGCAAUCACCUGCCGCUGCCUUCGUCGUCGUCAGCCAUCCAGGGGGCCUGCGCUCGGUAGCCCCUGCUGCAAAUCCCGUCAGGUGGCGAUCAUCCUCUCCGUCCGGCCAACUGCUACGCCAACAACAAUAUUAAUGCAGAUGAGUCAAACAAUAUAUAUAAUCCGCCACAUGAUCGAAGAAGCACGUACGACAUCUGAGAGGGGGAGGGGGAGAGAGAAGAGCUAGAGAGAGGAGAGAGAUUGAUCAUCUCGAGACGCACGCCGGACGGACGCGAUCGAUCAGCAGGAGAGUCGAGGACGACGAGCGGCGGCGGUGCCGUGCGUGGUUUGAUUUAAUUGUUCGUAACUCUUUUAAAACCGUUUAUACCGUUAUGUUCCUUAUGUACAAAAUAAGACCAGGAUUGAGUAUAUUUAGAAAUUAUUUUACGUAACUGUCAACUUAUGGUGUAUAUAUACUACCAACUUAUAUAUCAAGUAUGUAGCAGACUAUUUGACAACUUAUAUGGAGACAAUUUAACAAAUUAUGCAGAGAUCAUGUAUCAACUUAUUUAUAGAUUAUGUAGCAACUUAUAUUGCAUGUCUAAUGUCGUUGAUCAAAGUUAUACAGAGACAAAUGUAACAACUUAGAUAAAGGUUGUGUACACCACUUUCGCGUAGCUAAAAUAACAAUUCAUGUAAAGAUAAUGUAGCAACUUAUGUAGAUACUUCAUGUAGGUAAUGGCAUUGGAUUCAAAAUUAUUCACGUAGAAACUUACAUGUAAAGUUUGUUUGGAGGUUUGAAUAUAAGUUGCUACAACUUGAUACAGACCAUAAUAUAAGUUGACAUUCCGUAAAAUUAAUCCAAAACAUAUGUAUCAUGGAUCUUGUCUUAUAGAUUUCAUCGUAACUAACAGGACGGUGCAAUCAGAUUUGAAAACGGUCACUCCAUAAGAAAAUUAUGACAUUUCAAAACUUCAAGCACAAUUAGCAUAUUUAUUCAUCCUCAUGUCCACAGGCCACGCGGGAUCAUGAGCGCUUGCGCAAGCACAUGGGCCAGGCAGAUAAAGCCUCAGUCGCCACAGGCCGCGGGCCGUGAGGGUCGCGCCCUACGACGUGAGCGCGACCCCACACGAGGAGGCUUUUUUCUUCCAAGAAAAUUAGAAUGACUUCCAAUUUGAAAUGAUUUCUUCCAAUAUAUAUGAAUUAAACCGGUAAUGUUUCUUGAUGAAUUUAAUGCCUGUAGAGGUACACAGCUAGGCUGUGGUGAUAACAAAUGAUAUGGAUUGGUACAUGAAUAUUCCAAAAUAGUUAAUCAGCACCAGGUAAGCAGAUGAUGGAUGACCAAAACUUGAAUCUGCAAGUGUUAAUAAUGCUCUGAGUGCCCUCCCCCUCCCCUUCAGCAGAGUGGGAGGUCCGGUGGAGGUGCCUCGAGAGACUGCAGCUCCCCAACGCCGUCCUCCACGAGGAACGCCAUGGCGAGUCCCCAGGUGAUGUGCACGUCCAGAUGGCAGUGCAUCAGCCACACCCCCGGGUUGUCCGCCACGAACCGGAUCACGGCCCACCCGUUCACCGGCACGCCCACCGUGUUCCUCAUCGGCGGGUCGUCCAGGUUGAACUUGGCGGUGUCGGUGGCGGCGUCAAAGUUGCCGAAUCCCUCGGCCAGGAUGUAGAAGUCGUAGCCGUGGAUGUGGAUGGGGUGGUUCUCGCCGGCGAAGAUGUUGGUGCCCUGGAGCACCAGCUGCACGGCGGCGCCGUACUUGAGCCUGUACACCUUGGUGCCGGGCGCCGGCUGCCACAGCGCGCGGCUCACGUUCUGCGCCGUGUAGUCGAACUGCACCGGCGGGUUCGCCGGGAAGUCGGCGGUGAACACGCCCUGCUGCGCUCCGCCGUAGUGCGCCUGCAGGAUGGACACGGUGGACGGCAGCACGAAGGAGACGUUGUUCAUGCUCGCCGCGAACCGCGUGUUGUUGGGCCCGCCGCAGGUCUGCCCCCUGGAGCAGUUGAACAGCCCGACGCCCACAGUGAAGAAGAGGUUCUCGUCCACGCGCGACGGGAGCUCCGCCUUGCGCAGGCCGCGCAGGUUCGUCGUGAACGUCGUCGCCGUCGCCGUGUCGUUGUACGCCGGGAGCGUCGGCAUGGCGGGGCUCCUGCUGCCGCUGGAGGAGGAGGAGGAGUAGUCGAAGAUGGCGGUGGUGGUGGUGUUGUCGAAGGGGACACCCUGGGCGCUGGCGUAGGCGCGGGCGGCGAGGUAGUACCGGCCGGGCGGCUGGUCGAAGGUGACGAGGACGUCUGUGGUCUGGCCGGGGGCGAUCAUGAGCACCGACGUGGAGUAGGGCUUGGUGUAGGAGGCGUCGGCGCCCACGACGGUCAUGGUGUGGCCGGCGAGGGAGACGAAGAGCUCCGUGUUGAGUGCGGCGUUGAUGAAGCGCAGCAGGUUCGUCUCGCCGGACUUCACCGGGAACGUGGUCGUGUCCUUGGACGAGCACCUGUAGAGGUCGCCGGGCUGGCCGUUGACGGUGAGGGCGUCGGAGAUGUUGGGCGCCGCGCCGGUGCGGGUGGCCGUGCGGACCACGUCGAUGGGGUUCAUGUCCCACCAUUCCCCUGCACGCACGGUCCCAUGAGCCAUGGCAUUAUUGGUAAAUCCGUUGAAACACAGUUUUAAUCACCACUAAGAAAAAAACGUUUGUACAUGUUCGGUUUCUUAUGUCAAAUCCGUUGAAUUCUUUGUCAAAGAUGACCGUGCAUUACUUCUACGGAAUUUUGCUAAACUAAUUUUAGUAAGGAUUUAUGUAGCUUCAUUACCUUUUUCAAACAUUGUGGCAAUCCUGAUUUUGAUUGACAAUAGAUGAUGAAUAAAGUUUUAGAAUGUGCUUAGUUUUUCCUUCUUCUGAAGGAAGACUAGUCUCAUCAAAACCCAAGGUUAUAGAAGGGGUACAUGCAUGCAUGUUAGGCCUAUUGUGGAAUGUGGGCCAUAAUAACAGCCAGCCCAAAGAAAAGUAAGCAGCCUAAUGAUGCAAUUUUGAUUAUGCAGCUUGAAAAGUAGUAGAUGGUAAGCAAAAUAAAGACCUAUGCAGAUGAAUUUAGUCUACAAAGCCCUUUUGGAAGGAAGGGAAAUUAUUUCAGUUUCAGGCAACUGAAGCUGCUCUUGUUCCAAAUGAGCUGAGACAACUCUGAAACAAGUUGUUUGCCUUUCGGAACGCUUCAGAGGCAAGUAUAACCUUUUUAUUUUUUUGCAUUGGCAGCUGAUGAACUUAUUGUUGAUGAACGAAGAAAUGUACUAACAUUAGCAUAGGCAAGGUGCCUUAUUCGUCCUUACAGUAUGCGUCGAUCUAGUGACCCACUAGGGGACAUAUUUUUUGGUAUGAGAGUUGUUGGACCCCACAAGUCAGUGGCACGGCUCAUGAGUGCAACUAAAGAAGGAUCUCGCAUGAGAUACGUACUCCAUGAGAAUCUUUUUGGACGCCCGUCAAUCACGAUUUUUUUUCCCUUUUCGUAGGAAGUCUCGAUGAUGUUUACUACUUUGUGACAGAUCCAACGUAACAUGAUGACGAUGCAUGUUUGACUCUGAUGCACCUAGCUAAUUAAGCUAGUAAUCAAGCAGCAAGCUGUUAUCAUCAACCAACAAAGUAACAGAAUGAUAACACUGACUAACAUGCGGGAAAAGAGAAAAAGGAAAUGCUAAUCAUCUCUAUUCUCUUCUAUAUUCUCUCUGGCCCACACCACAAGCUUGCAAUUGGACUGAGCUUAGGUUAGUUGGUGGGAGAUGCCAGAUGCGGGUGUUGCACACUUUUCGGUAGCUAGGUCGAAGCCUGAUUAUUUUAUUUUUUUCAACUCGAAUUUCAGUGCAUACUCCUUGCCAAUAUUAAAGCUACGAUAUUUAAGACAAGCUAAUUAGUAAAAAAAUGAACCAACUAGUUUAUCAUAAACAUCGUAUAUUUAAGAACGUAGAUAGUACUAGCUGUGUCGAUCGAAGUUUUUACUUGUUAAUUUGGGGAAGAAAUGAGAGUGAGGGUACAUUUUGUGCAAGAGUUUUGACCUGUGUAUGCAAUUAUUGGACAUGAGCAUACAUACACAGCAACUAGUGAAAUGCAGUAAAAAUUCAGUAGCGGCACAGCACCAAUGACGGCCAUCAUGUCCAGCAUACCAAUGGCGGUCUAAUAGGAUGAUCAAGUAUGGUAAAGAAGAGUGAUCCAUACACCUAGCUUGAGAUUGAGUGGCAUGAUCCAUCCAGGCCAGUGUGUAUGUAUAAUAUAAUUGAAAACGACGUACUCGUACGUACCUAGCAGGAUGGGGAUCUCCCUCGCGGGGGGCUCGCCGGCGGCGUCGAAGGGGUAUGCGGUGACGCCGGCGCGGGGGCGGAUGAUGAGGGCGCCGUGGACGGUGGCGCGGAGCCACGAGCUGUGGGCGUGCCACCACAGCGUGCCUUCCUGCCCGGCGACGGUGAAGCGGUAGGUGUAGCUCUGCCCCGGCCGGAUGGGGCACUGCGUCACGUACUCGGGGCCGUCGGACCAUCCCGUCCGCAUCUGCCGCACGCCGUGCCAGUGCACCGUCACGUUGUACCUCCCACGGUUGAUGACCCGGACGAUGAGGGAGUCUCCCUCGUCGAUCUCCAACGCCGGCCCCGGGAACUGCCCGUUCACCGUCAUGAUGCUGUGCUCCCGGCACAGCCGCGUCACCGACGCCUCCUGGAUCUGCACCGUCAUGUGUCAUACAGAGUACAGGCAUGCGUGGCAAUUGGCUAGGUAGGCAUGCAACUGGAACUACUCUCUUCGUUCCAAAUUGCAGGUUGUUUUAGUUCUUUUAGAUUCAUAGAUAUUAUUAUGCAUCUAAACAUGCACUAUAUCUAGAUGCAUAAUAAUAUCUAUGAACCUAAAAAAACUAAAAUGACCUACAAUUUGAAACGGAGAGAGUAACCAUAUAGUAAUUAACAUGAUGAUCGACUAUAUUAACUCAGAGAGAUCGAUUACCACAAACUCAUGGUACUGCUCCUUGGCGAUGGCCGGCUGUAUCGUCAGGGAGGACCAGAGGAGGAGAGGGAGGGUGAUCAAGAGCAGCGAGGAGGAGCAGAACGGCAUGCUACUUGAGCUUGACAUGCCGCCGGAUGCUCGCAUUUCUUCAGCUUGAGCCUUCCAAUUGCUUAUGCAAGCGACCAAGGCUCUCUCUCUCUUUAUAUAGCUAGGAGCAGGUGGAGGAGGUGCAGAGCUGAUCAGCAGAGAUGAGGGGCAAAAGAUCCUGGCUAGCAGCUACAAAGUCAUAGACAGCGGUGGUUUUCUGGUUGGCAUUAUUAGGUCCUCAAGCGAUCCUGUUGUUGGCGAACAAAUGCAUGCCUGGCCUCUUCUUUUGACACUCACAUUUGCUUUCUCUUUCUGACCUUCAUCUCGUUUCAUGCAUGAUCCGUUAUUCAACGUGCAUGCCACUGACACUAACAAGCACACUCCAGUUGCUACAACCACUGCUGCAUUCUAUGUGUGUUUCCAUUUCAACCUCAGAAACACUUUUCCUAGUGAUGGUAACUUGGCUAACUAGCAUCCUUUUUGGUCAGCUAAUAACUACCUAGUAAUGUCAAGAAUCUCUACUCUAUUUUUGCCUGCUAAUGUAAUUGUCUGAUCAUGCCUCCAUCUCCAUCACGAGUCUAGUACAUUUUCCUCUGCAUAUGAAGAUGGAGCUUCGUCCCUCAAAGGCCAGCUGAAGCAUCAUAAUAACAGAACUUUCCAAACAGUAACGAAUGCGUGUGGCCUUGUAUUAUUUGCAAGCUCUUUUCCGGAAAGGAAACAGAGGACAUACAUACUCUACCAUCUACUGUUGCAUACUUGCAUCAUACACAAACUUUUGGCAAGAUGACUCCUGUGAUCAUGCUUCCAUCACGACUUUACUUCUCCUCUCCUCUGGACAUCCUCAAGGACAGGCUGAAACAUCAUAAAAAAUAUAAGAAUAAGAUAGAGCCUAGCUGCAGUCUGCAGGAUCAAUGAGUAUGGCAUUGGUCGGUAGGUCUUAUCCUGAACAAGGAAACUACAAAGGUACUCUUCAAUCAUCUAAUGUUGCAUCAUAUCAUGGAUUGGCUUCAAUGUCCACGCUGUGUGCAUAUCCGUAUUAUUACUUCUUUGUGUACAUGGAUGAGAACCUGUCAUCGUUGAUGGAACUUGAUCACCUAUAUACUAGAUAGCUGAAUCAGAUCCAGAACCAACACGCAUCAACUUCACCAUUUGGAAUUUCAUUCCACAUCAAAUCGAACGUGAUAGGCUAAGUACUUGAAUGUUUAAAAAUGAAACAGAGAAAGCAACCUCAUGUUCAUUUCUCAAUCAGGCAGAGCUCCAAAAGCCAAAUGUUUAGGCAUACUCUACAAGCAGACCCAUGGUUAGCAGUAUGUUUUCAACAUUUCAAUUCAUCAGAAAAAUAGAUAUAUAUCCUAACCAAGGAUCAUAGAGCUGUCUGCAACUUGCAUUUUAGCAUUACCAUUUUGCAUCACAUGCUUAUCAUCACAAACUAUGCCGAGCAUGUUUCCAUUAGGAUAAUCAUUAUGCAUGAAUUAAGGAAUCAUAGCCGGUGGGGACACUAGUCCUGCAAAUGUUUCCACUUGCAACAAAGGUUGCUUAGCUUUUGUUUCAUUUUGCUAGAACCAAACACUUAGUUCCUGCAUCAGCCUUUUUUCGCAUCCAAAUUCCCAUGAAAACAAUGAGGUGAGGUCACUAACAACUUUCUUUUAUCCUUUUGACUAACAAAUCUCUGUGUAUCCAUUCUUCCCGAGCAUCACUAACUGAAUCUUUACUUUGACAAGGGUUGUUAAUCUCGCACUGCCAAAUUUCACAUGGAAGUAUAACUACACUGUUUGACCAUAAUGACAUUUCUAUUCUAUGUUGCAAGGAUCAAAAGUGCAUCACUACAUCUAGAUUGUCUCCUUUUUGUUGCUUGCACCACUGACCCAAGUAACCAAGAUGUGACGUAUAAUAAGCUGACCUCGUUAUGUACUGAGAUAAAGUAAAAAAAAUUGCUUCAUUGAUUAUGCCUGUACUAAUGUAUUUUAACCAUAGAGGAAUUUUCAGUACGAAUUUUUGACUUUUGGGUAAUCAGAACAAAACUUAGUUUAAACAGUUAAACAGUGCUAAAAGCUCUAUUGCUCUUCUGUAAUAUGAAAACAAAUUAUUGUUCAAAUAGUAUAUUUUUGCCAGACUUUGACACUGUAGGGUUCUCAAAUACUUGUUCCAUCAAAUGAUUCAUGUGCAUGAGCCUGUGGUUGGCAGAAGUACAACAAGAAGCGUGCUGUGUGCUAACCACCACAUACUGUUCAUGGAUUCAGUAGGCAGCAAGUACCCCAUCUGUUCUAGCUUCAGACGGUUUCUUGCAAUUCAAGGCAGUCUAAAGUCAAAUGGAAAGAACAGCAAGAAUCUUGAGGAGGAAGGAAGAAAUGCAAUUUGUCAUAAAAGGAAGAGAUUUGCUUGGUGGCAAAGAGCUCAAAGAAAUAUUUUAAUCCAAGGCUGGGAUAUAGCUCGCUGCUAAUUUGGAGGCAUCUAACAACUCUUGUGCUCCACUACUUGUCCUUCAAAAACUGAAAAGAUGUUUCACAUGCUGGUGUGCAAGCGUAUCAGGCCCCAUUGUUUCCUUCAACUUCCAUCUAUAAGUAAAAAAAGAAAAAGAAAAAGAAAAGUAGAACUGAUUUCAUGGCAUGGGAUGGUGCUUCUUAGAUAAAGCUCAAGAACUACGAUACGAUUUCUCAUAUUUUGAGGCCAUGUUUAGUUACCCCCAACUUCCAACUUUGACACUAUGCAAAAAGAAGAUUCCCCAUCACAUCAAACUUGCGGUACAUGCAUGGAGUACUAAAUGUAGACGAAAUUAAAAACUAAUUGCACAGUUUUAUUGUACUUUGCGAGACGAAUCUUUUGAGCCUAAUUAGUCAAUAUUUGGACAAUAAUUCACAAAUACAAACGAAACGCUACAGUGUGCUACAGUGCUAGCACAGUAAUUUUGCAUCUUCCAAAUUGGCCAACUAAACAAGGCAGUUUUAGUACUGCUGGAAUGACCAAGCUUAAAUCUGGACUUUGUUGGCGAUGGAAUGAAGAUUUGACUUGUGAGACAAAUCUCCAAGAAACAAAGAAUAUGCCCACAGUCCCAGUGAAAUAAUGCUAGUGAUUAGUUGAAACACCUGAAGCUUAUUAUAAUGAGUCACAUGUUUAGCAAUAAGUAGAAAGCCAAAGAGUUGUGCAGUUUUUGCAACCAACAAGCAAAAGGUAACCUUUCUGAACCUUUUAAAUUGGAAAUAAUUGAAGCAAAAGAAUCCUUAAAUAGCAUCUGUACAGCAAUAAUUUGUACGGCAUUGAAAGUUUGAUGCAAUGAUAUUGCCCCAUUUCUUUGAACCUGUGAUCGACUGGCAAGUCUUGAUGACAUCUUUUGUGCGGUCUAUUGCAUUGGAAUGCCAGAAUUGGUCCACAGCAUUGCAUAUCUCCAUGUGGUUUCGAAUGACCAAAGCCUUUGUGCGUUUUAAGCUUGUGCUUUGUGAACAAUUCUUAUGUGCUUUGUGAUCAGCCAGCUUAAUAGCAGUUGGUGGAAAUUUGAGUAGCUGCUGCUGCUAACAUGAAGAUACUAAACAACAUGAAGAAAUAACAGUUUAGGGUUAGGGAGAGAUGAUCAGCCAGCUUAAUAGCUAGCAGGGGAGCACAAAGUAGCAAGCAAUAUUCGUGCAUUAUUUCAUUUGCUCAUAUCUCAUUGGUGAGAACAAAAGUCGUUUUAUAGGUCGUUCGUUUUCUCUUCUUCAGGGAACAACCAAGCAACUACUUCUGAACCUCACAUUGCAAGACAAAGAAUGUAGGUAAGAUGGUCGGCGCAGGUGAUUGAUUGUAGUGUACAAAUGGCACGAGUCGACCUAGUUUGUUGAUAGCACGAAAUUGGUCACGCUGAUAGCCUUGAGACUGAAAGCCAUUCAUCGGCAGUAACAGAUUAAGGACAUGUUUGGUUCUAGAAGCUAAACUUUAGCCCUAUCACAUCGGAUGUUUGAUACUAAUUAGAGUAUUAAAUAUAGGCUAAUUAUAAAACUAAUUGCAUAGAUGGAGGCUAAUUCGCGAGACGAAUCUAUUAAGCCUAAUUAGUCCAUGAUUUGAUAAUGUGGUACUACAGUAACCAUUUGCUAAUGAUGGAUUAAUUAGACUUAAUAGAUUCGUCUCGUGAAUUACCCAGGGUUUCUGCAAUUAGUUUUAUAAUAAGCUCAUAUUUAGUCCUCCUAAUUAGUAUCCGAAUAUUCGAUAUGACAAGGGCAAACUUUAGCUCCUAGUAUCCAAACAGCCUCUAAGCUCAAAUCUGAAUAUCUCACCAAACAGAAACAGCCUGCAGUGAUAGAUAGAUAGAUUCGGUUGGGUGGAUAAGUUGUUUAAGUUGACCGGUGUACUUAGAAUCCACAGCUUAGGGCAGCCACGACGAAGAGGAAAGACCUGUAUGAUCCAGCUCACCAUUGUACAAGAGGAAAGACCUAUAUGAUCCAGCUCACCAUUGUACAAGUAGUUCAUAUAGCAAUCCACCUUAUAGUUAGGUAAGCGCACCUGCAACACUUAUAGAAAGUAAACUUUAUAUAACUUCUUCAUGUCAUCUAUAGACAAUGUUUAUAGAGUAGUCAUCCAACAAACUUAGGUGGUGUUUGGAUACGAGGUGCUAAACUUUAACAGUGUCACAUUGGAUGUUUGGAUGCUAAUUAGGAGGGCUAAACAUGAGCUAAUUAUAAAACUAAUUGCAGAACCCUGUGCUAAUUCGCGAGACGAAUCUAGUAAGCCUAAUUAAUCCAUCAUUAGCAAAUGGUUACUGUAGCACCACAUUGUCAAAUCAUGGACUAAUUAAGUUUAAUAGAUUCGUCUCGCGAAUUAUACUCCAUCUAUAUGUGACAGGUGUUCCCAAACAAACACCCCCUUACUUACUGUAACAUUUGUCCCUCAAUUUAGUGGACCCCACGUGUCAGAAGUUUUUUAUUUCCUCCUCUCACUCUCUCCCCCUCUUCCUCGUCUCCCUCGUGCCGGCGAACAGGCGGCGGCGCCUCUCCUCCUGGCCGGCGGACUGGCGGCGGCGUCCCUCCUCCGCCCGCGGUGGCUCGGCCGACCGGCGGCGCAGCUCCUCCGCCUCCGCGGCGCCCCAUGGCCGCGGCCCCUCCGUCUCCUCCGCUGCAGGUUCGCAGGCCGUGGCCUUGCCUCCGACGUCCGCGAGCUCCUCCGCGCGCCGGUGUGGCCAAGCUCGGGCGGAUGCGCCGGCAGAGCCCCACGUGCGAGCCGCACGACCCCUGCCUCGCUCGCACCUGCGCCCUGCCGAGACCGAGCUAGCGUUCGAUUGGAGGGAGGGGAGAGGUGAGGGGACCGAGCGACGCCCCGGAGCAGUGGCUGCCGAUGGCCGCGCCCCUUCUCGCGCCCGGUGGCCGUGGUUCUCCCCCCGCUGGAGCCGGCGCACCUCCUCCCCGCGAUGGAGCUCCGGCGGCAAAACAUGCGCGCGGAUCGUGUUUAGUCGAGGAUUCGACCACGUGAUGCUGCUACAGUAAUGCUAAUCGUGAAUUAAUUAAGUUUAAUAGGUUCGUAUCUCUCGAUUAACCUUCGUCCGUACAAUUGAUUUUAUAAUUUCCUCCUAAUCACGUCUAAAUAUUUGAUAGGAUAGGAUUAAAUUUUAAUCCGUGGAACAACCACUCCUAAGCCCACCGAUAAAAUAAUAUAAUCUCUCCUCUUCCGGGCUGGAUAAAUUUUUUAUAGCCCAUCCAAUCAGUUGUUCCUCAGUGACCGUUAGAUUCUGAGAGGAGUUGUUGGUGUUGGCCCGUUGGAUCUUUAUCUGAUUGAACCAAAAAUUGUUGAAUAGUCUUGUCGUUUUGUUGGCAAGCAUGUCCUGUAGUUAGCAGGUGUUCGGCUGGACUUCAAAUAAACCGCCGCCGGCUUUUUUUUUUACUGUUUGAACAGUAAAAACAGAGAGAAGUAAAAAAAAAAACUAGCUGAACAGCGGCUACGGCUUAUUUUGGCUCAUUCGAAUAGGCAUCAGUUUGAACUCUGUACUACUGAAAUCUGCUGGAACACAUCCACUGUUGGACAGCAUGAACAAAGGCAGUAUGACAAAUUCAGUAACUGUUCAUCAUCAUGAUCGCUAAUUCACCACCAUCCUCAUGAUGGACAAGGUAAUCAAAUAAAUAAAAUAUGCAUUAUUAUAGCAGUAGUAUUUCUCCUCUUUCCCAUCCUUGCUCCUAGGCUGCUACAUACAGCCGCUGAUUCUAGUGCGAGUGCAAAUAAUAUUUGCCUAUACAAACUGAAAAUUACCUAGUAAACGCAAAAACUAAGGGGUGAUCCGAUAUUCCGAUCCCCCAGUGGUAGAAGUAGAAGUAAUACUUCAGGAUUAAACGAAUCAAAGAAUCUCUUUUCUAGCUAAUAAACCAUUGCUUUUCUUCUCGCGAUUCUUGGCUGUUGCCGCGCGCUCGUGCUGCUGCUGCUACUCAUCGUCUCCUGCAGAAGCCACUGGCACAUGCGCGCCGGCACCUUCCUCGCUCGGCCCGGCGCCGCCAUCCGAUCCCGGCCUGAUCUGCUCGAGCUGCCGCAGCACCUCCCGGGCCUCGGGCCUUACCGACGGCGCCGGGUCCACGCAGUGCAGUGCCAGCUUCAGCGUGUCCAUCAGCUCGUCGCCGACGGGCCCCGUGGCGGCGUCGCGCAUCAGCUCCAGGUCGAAUACCUCGCUGGUCCAUUCCUCCUUCACGAUGGACGCCACCCACUGCGGCAGGUCCAUGCCGUUGGUGCUCUCCGCGGGGUUCUUGCCUGUCAGCAGCUCCAGGACGAUCACGCCCAGGCUGUACACGUCCGUCUUCGCGUUCGCCUUCUUCAGCUUCGACAGCUCCGGCGCGCGGUACCCCAGGGCGCCCGCCGCCGCCAGCACGUUCGAGUUCGCCGCGGUCGUCAUGAGACGGGACAGCCCGAAGUCGGAGAUCUUGGGGUUGCAUUGCUCAUCGAGGACGACGUUGCUGGCGGUCAGGUUGCCGUGCACGAUGUUCAUGUCGUCGUGGAGGUAGGCCAGGCCACGGGCUGUGCCCUUGGCGAUUGUCAUCCGUGUCGCCCAGUCCACCGUCGUAUUCGGUGCGCGAGCUGCAUCAAUGCCAUUCAUCAUCAGGAAACAUCAAGUGUUAGUACACAAAGUUCACUGUUUCAGCUUCAGAAGGUGUCAAAAGUUCACAAGCACACUAAGAAAUGGAAGGAAUAUCUAGCUGUGAACAAAUUUAUCAAGAGUUUCAUAAAAGGAAAUUGCUCGUUUUCACUGAAUGUAACACGACACAGUUCGUUCUUAACAGUUAGCAUUUCUGCACUGGCCAUGAACAGAGAAACUAUGAACUUUGAUGUAAGAUUUUUCAGAUGUCAAGGGUAUGAACUGACAUCAGUCCUACAGCAAACGCACUGCAAUUCAAACUUUACCAAUUCUCACUGGCAGGUCUACCUGCUAACAUAACAGACAGCUAUAUCAAUUUUGGCAAUGUCUGAAUUUGUAGAUGUUCAGAGAGUUCAGACUAGGCAUUUUGCUGAAACAGAGCAAUUAGCAUACAUAAUAAGCUGGUAUGAAAGAAUUUAACUACAUACAUGCAGACUAAACAGAAUGCCAGAAUCCAGCAAAUGAUGAUAUAUAAUUGCUUAACAUUAGCUGAAAUAAUUAGCUAAACCAUGAGCUAUGGUGAUUCAGUCAGAAAUUAGUAAUGCUGAAGAGAACAAGAGAGAGCAGAGCAGGGAUAAGAAGCCUGACCGUGCAAGAAUGUUGAGAGGUUGCCCUUGGGCAUGUAAUCGAAGACGAGCAGCUUCUCCCCCUUGGGCCCCAGGUAGUAGGCCCUGAGCGCCAGCAGGUUGGGAUGGCGGAUCCUGCCGAGCAAGGCCGCCUCGGCCUCGAACUCCUUGUGGCCCUUGGUGAUCUUCUCCCUGAGGCGCUUGACGGCAACCAGGCUGCCGUCCUCCAGCGUGGCCUUGUACACCGUGCCGUAGGUGCUCUUCCCCAAGAUCUCCGCCGUGGCGCACAGCAGGUCGUCCGCCGUGAACGCCAGCGGCCCGUCGAAGUGCACGAGCUUGCCGCCCACGUCGCCGCCGGACUCGACCUCCGCCGCGCCCGACCCUGGCUUCUCGCUGCGCCCGGCCGCCGCGGCAUCCUUGGGCGCCUGCUUCCCGCUCCUUGCUGCACUUGUGCUGGUGGAAGACGACCUCUUCCUUGUGAGGAAGCACAGCAGGAGGCAGCAGAGGAGCAGCAGGAUGAGGACGCCGACGACGAUCCCGGCGAUGAUGAGUACGAGCUCCUUGGUGCUGAACUUGCGGCGGCCGCGCGCCUCCUCGGCGGUUGAAGAUGGCGCCGGGGACGGGGACGCCGGGCAGGGCGUGGAAGCAGAGUAUCCGCAGAGCAGGAUGUUCCCGAUGAAGGCGGGCUCCCCGAACUUGUUGGCGAGGGACGCCGGCACCGCGCCGGAGAGGUUGUUGUAGGAGACGUUGAAUGACUGGAGCGUGGCGGUGAGGUUGUCGAGGCUCGGCGGGAUGUCGCCGCUGAGGUCGUUGCCGGAGAGGUCGAGCGCCUUGAGGUCGGCGAGGGAGCCGAGCUCGGCGGGGAUGGUGCCGUUGAGGUUGUUGUUCCCGGCGAGGUCGAGCUGCUGCAGCUUGGUGAGCUUCGUGAGGGAAUCGGGAAUGGGCCCGUCGAGGGAGUUGUGCGCGAGGCUGAGGAAGACGAGCUGGUAGCUCCCGGUGAUGGAGUCCUUGUUGAGGAGGAGCUUAGAAGGCGACUUGGUGGAGCCGGCGAAGGCGUCGGGUAUGGGGCCGGAGAGGUUGUUGUAGGAGAGGUCGAGGAAGAGGAGCGAGGCGGAGGCGACGACCUCGGCGGGGAUCUGAUCGGAGAGCGCGUUGCGGCUGAGGUUGAGGCGGAUGAGCUUGGUGGAGUUGGCGAUGGCGGGCGGGACGGCGCCGGUGAGGCGGUUGUUGCUGGCGUCGAAGGACUGGAGCGCGACGCAUCCUCCGAUGGACGCGGGGACGGCGCCGGAGAAGCGGUUGUUGAAGAGGUAGACGCCGCGGAGGUCGGGGAGGAAUCCAAGCGAGGCCGGGAUGGGGCCCGCGAUGGCGUUGUCGUGGAGGCUGAGCCUUCGGAGGCGGGUGAGCUGGCCGAGGCCGCGCUGGGAGAGGGUGCCCCCGAGCCCCCGCCAUGGGAGCGUGAUGGCGACGACGCUGCCGAGGACGCACUUGAUGCCGGCCCAGGCGCCGGAGCAGGCGGUGAGGCCGGAGUCGUUCCAGGAGCGGAGGAUGCCGUAGGGGUCGGCGAGGUCGUGGCGGAUGGCCUGCAGGCCCUGGUAGUCGGCCUGGGAGAUGACGACGCCGUCGCCCGCGGGGUGGUGGCGGUGGUGGCCUUGAGCGGCGGCGGGCGGUGGAGUGAGCAGGAGGAGGAGCGCGGCGCAGCAGCAGCGGAGGAGGAAGGGGAGGCGCGUCGGCCUCCGCCGCGGCGGCAGCAUUGUGGCUGUUGAUUUGGAUUGAGAUCAAAACUGCAAGUGUUGGUUUGUUUGAUGAGUGAGAGGAGGAGGAGGAAGAAGAGCAGUAGAGAUUGCUGCCUCGCCUCCCCUGCUGUGGGUGUGUUGAUGAACGGUGGCGCAACGGCUAGUAGCAAGCAGAGUCAGAAAAGCAACAAGCCUGCACCUGCACGGUCUGAGGAAGCAGUCACGAGGGAGGAGUGGGCCAGGCGGUUUAAUUAUUUUUUUUUGUAACGGCUAGUCCAUGUCCAUCCAUCCGACCCAGGACCAACCAGCAGGCCAGUCCAGUAACGCAAUCCUCCCGGCGGCCUCUUGGACUGGCCCGGUAGGGGGGAGGUUGGUUGUUGUUUUUGCUUGGGUGGCGAAUAUCUCGGUCCGCAGGCCCACCUCCCUCUUUAAUCGCCUUUUCUUUCUCGUCGACCAAUACUCUCAUCGCCAGCAGCCGGAAGACGAAGAAGAUGGUGGCGGAAGCGGAACGAGACGACGACGAGAGGCCGGGUUGAGCAAUGGGUCGGCUGGCUCGUUUCUGAAGCCCACAACGUACGUCUUUCUUGGGCUGGCUCGACCGAUUUCAGUCAGGGGUCAGGCCCUAAUUAAUAGCCCAACACCUCUCAAGGAAAAAUAAAAAUUAAUAGCCCAACAAAAACAGAAGUAGCGGAAGCGAGUCCAAUGCGGACGGACCGACCGGCAAGCUUUUUAGGGAUAGAAGAAGAAGAUGGCGCCGUCAGUAGGAGAAGAAGAUGGCGCCGAAACGGAAGCUCGAAGACGCUGCUGCUACAGAUGAUCCGCCGCCUUCCUCGUCAGCCAUUGUCGUCAGAGCUCAGAAGAAGAAGAUGGCGGCGGAGGUGGAACGGCAACACGCAGACGCUGCUGCUGCUGCAGAUGAUGAGAGGCAGUCAUCCUCCUCCUUCCACCGCCACAAAGAGGACGUGCUGAUGCUGAGCGCCUCAGAUCAGAUCCUACACAAGAACCUCGACCACUACGGCCUUCUGCGGCAGCCGGGAAACCUGUACUGGAGCACCCAGCAGGGAUGGAUGCUCAUCAUGGAGUACCUACAAGAACAACCCUACACCUCAUCCGCGGCAGCCUACCUUCCUGCGGAACCCUCACACGGGAGACAGGCAAGCUUCCAAUGUUCCAGUACUUUGAUGUCCCUAGAAUGAACCACCCCCACGGGACAAGCUCGAUCUUUCUCAUAUACAUGAGCUCAAUGCAUACAAGAUGGAUUUCUCAGCACAGUCGUCGUCUUGGCGCAGGGUCAAUGACAUUGGAGACGCUGUGAUUUUCUUGGAAGAUGGUUAUUCAAACAUGGCAGCCUCCUACGCAGCAAACAAAUCGGAUAUACUUCAUCAACAGAUGACGCAACGAUGAUACUGGUUGCUUGUGCACUUUUGACUUGGGAUUAAACAUCCUGGAGAAUGUCUGGUUCCCCCAGAACAACUUGUUUCGCUGCUUCAUACCUUUUUGGAUUGUGCCACCUAGCAACUAGCAGCUAUCCUAUGCAUGUGUGCCUGAUCAAUACAGAUCGAUUUCCUAAGUUAUGUGUAGCGAGGGGUUAGUUUUAAGCUAAUAAUAAGUAUGGUGAUGCAUGGAUUGCGAUUGUUUUAUGGAAUAUAAGCCAUGCGUGGAAUACAGCAAGCCUACUAUGCAUGGGUUUUCUUUUCCUUGUCAGAGAUCGUACAACGAGAUGCAGACAAUGGGCCUGUUCGCUUCAGCUUAUUCAGUCGGCUUAUCAGCCACCAAACAGUGUUUUCCUCUCACAACAAAUCAGCCGUUUCAGCUUUUCAGCCGGCUUAUAAGCUGAAGCGAACAGGCCCAAUCAUCUCAGAAUACUCAAGUCCUACAUUACUUACUUGAUGGUCUCACCAUCUCUGUGCAGGUUUACCUUCAACUGAAAAUAUGAUUCUCCCUCCCUGGUAGUAAUACAGCUAGGCUAUAUGAAUCCGACAAGGGCAGGCGAAAAGGGCUGUCAAUGAGAGCAUCGCAUUUGUGAAGAUGAGCAAUACUGUAGUAUAUGGCAUACAAGUUCAUGUUAUGUGUUUGGUCGAUUCAUUCCAAUGGGAUGAUCUGAUGAGUUUGGAAUGCGGCAGCUGCUUCAUCUACAUGUGCAACGCAAAAACAAAUGACACAGCAUCUUCUGAAUAUGGCCAUAUAUAUAUCAUCAAGUCACUAGCAUACAAAUUGAGACAUCAAAUUGACUUUGCCAUACACCAAAAUUCAAAACAAAAACUAGGUUCCCGAUUCUUGUUUGUGUAUGUAUAUUCUUUAGUAUCCAUAAUACUCUGAUUUAGUAUAGUGUACCAUAGCAACAAUAAUCAUCUCAUAGAUAGACAGUACAACGUAUGGAGGAUGAAUGUUUCCUCAGCGGCUAGCAAAAGAAGAUGAAUGAAUCACACGCAAUUAGAGGCUAAGGCACAUGACCUUUAACGGUGGGGGCGAUCAGAUCAGACGCGUCCUCCUCCUACUCCUCCUGUGGCGUUGGCGAUGAAGGACAGCAGCGGGUUGCCGCUGCCGGCGGCCUGGUCGGGCUCGUCGAGGAAGAGGUCCUCCGGGACGCGGAACGCGCCGUGCGCGCAGACGACGGCGGCGCCGAGGGCGAGCGCGGAGAAGAUGAGCGAGCCGACGGAGGUGAGGAAGACGACGAAGGCCGAGGAUGCGAUGAGGCCCCCGAGCACCUCCUUAUCGGAGAAGGUGCGCCCGAACGCGGCGAGAGGCGGCGCGUCGGCGGGGCGGAGGAUGUAGAGGAGGCACCAGGCGGCGAGCAGGGCGAGGAGGGCGGCGAGCGAGAAGGGGUGGGCGAGGAGGGCGGCGGCGAGGGAGAGCGCGACGACGGCGGCGUAGUUGACGCGGAAGUAGGCGAGAUUCUUGCGGAGGCGGGAGGUGGCGUCGGAGAGGGAGUCCGGGCGGGAGAGCGCGGAGCGGUCGGCGAGCUCGGACCAGGGGCGGGCGCCGGAGAGCGCGCGCCUGGCGGAGUCGAGGAGGCGGGAGAGGAAGGCGCGCGCCGCGGCCGGGUUGGCGUCGGCGGCGACGUCGGCGGAGGAGACGGCGGUGGGGAUGGGGGUGGGGGUUGGUGUUGCCGCCGGGGCGACGGAGGUGGGGAGGAGCGGAGGGGAGGGCGCGGCCAUGGUGCGUGGCCGGGUUUGGCGGAUCUGGGCGAGGGAGGCUGAGGGACGAGGACGCACGCGGAGAGGGAGAGAUGGAAGCCGAACAACCAACACAAAAGAAGGGAGCGAGGCCACCGACCGCACCGACACACGCAACAAAGAAAUGGACUAGUCAACGCGUCGCCACGGUGCACGUCAAAAAUUGCCGGCCAAGGAUCGUGCAAAUUCUAUGUCAGUUAUAUUUGUGAGUUUGCAUGGUUUUCAAAAUGCACACAGUUUGACUUGAAACUGUGAACGGUUUCUUUAGAAAAAGAAAAUGCCGUAUCGUAAGGAUUUAUUUGGAUAGUAGUGGAUUUAAGUAAAAUAGGAGGGAUCGAAGAGGAAAUUAGUUCAUUUUAGAUUCAAUUCUUUUUGUUCCACUUCAAUACUUUCCUAUCCAAACAAGCCUAAGAGGCUGCUAACACAAGCAGCAAAGUGUUGCCGCAACUAAUAACAAUUGUUUGGUAGAGACGCAAUGUGACGUGAUGUACUAGAAGAAAUUCAACAAUAACAAAGAAACAAAAGGGUUGGGCAGCAGAGGAGCUAUCCAUUUCAGGUUAGGCAGCAAAACACAGGUAGGUCAAGCAUCACUGCCUACAACUGCGACGCAUCUUCUUCCAUAUCAAUCAAGCACCAUGUACUUGGUUCUGGAAGAAACUGGCAACACACCAGCGAAGUUCUCCCACCAUCCAUACUUGAGGUGCGAACCUCCCUCCCCUCCCAUUAUUCAUUUAUCCCUUGAUUUUUCCUUUUUCUUUUAAUCCAACUGUAUACCGUACUAAGCAAGCAAAUCACAACAGCAAAGAGUACCCUUUGCAAGUUCACUUACCAGCCAUCAUCCCCUAUCAAACAGAACAAGAUAGACACAAUCAUUUCAAGCUUACCAUACCAAACACAAAGGACCAACCAAGAUAACCAAGUUUGUGCAAGCCAACACAGCACAGCACGAAUAUGCUAUGUUGCAUUGAACAAGUCUGUGCCCCAGUCCCACAUGACAGUUUUCACUUCAGUUCAGCACAAAUUAACUAAUAUCUUACAACAGUGUCCUUAUUAGGCCAUUAUGCAAUGGACAAGACAUUAGGGAACACGAUUUUCCUUCACUGGAGCCACACCCAUGGACCUCAAAUCUAGAAGGUGGAGCCAUUCCAACCAAAGUCUGAGCCCUGCAUCAUCACAUGAUACUCACAAUCAGCAUGAUGCUAAGAUAUCAUCGGAUAAUAAAGAAACUAACACCAUCUACAUAAGCAAGCAGAAAGGGAACAUAUGCAAAACCAGGAAGAUGGCAUGAAACAACAGAUGAUUAUUUACAUGAUCUAUUCUUGAUGCAAAGCAUGCAAACAUUGAGCAUGUUCUUGUGCAGGAUGAGCCUAACAAACAACAAAAUUGAAAUGAGAACUUGGUGAUGGUUAAAAGGACCCAUGAAUCGUAUGUCGAGUCAACAAGAAAUAGUGCCUGCUUGCCUUUGAAUCAUGGAACUUGAGGUAAAAGCGGGACUUGGGAAUGGACAGCUUUGAUUCCAGAAUAGAAGCAACACCAGCACUCAGCUUCUUGUUGACACCAGGGUUCAGCCCUCCAAUGGAAACCAGCUCACCAUAAGCUGCAGGCUCCUGGGUGCCUCCAAAUGCCAUAGGCACUGAACCUUUGAGAACAACCAUCACGUACUGGGAGAGGACAAGCACUCCAGUCAAAUCCUCAAGAUGAUAGUACACAAGCGAAAUGGCUUUGGUUAAAUAUUUCAACCACAGAAAAACAAUAAAAAUCUAAAUUUUCAUCAAUUUAAGUAUAUCACCACAGGUCACCCACCAGAAAUCCAAAGAGUGACAGUAUGAGAAUGAUAAAGGAAAAGCACGCGCCCAAACUAUGUAGCAAAGCAGCUGCCUGACUAACACUAAUAUGAAGUGACCAAUAAACAGGAACUUUCAAACUUCAUCUAUAUCAACUGUUGGCUGCAGUAUUUUAGGGAUAACAUACAGGAAAAGCAGCCCAUGAUCUCCAAGUUUGCACUUGAUAUUGCUGAAGAAUAGUAAAGUAGGGGUUGCUGGUUGCUAGAAAUCUAGUCCAGAAAAAAAAAGUGAGCAGAGACUUUUGUCAGUUAGUUUGUUGUAAAUACAUCUGUUCUCACUUCUCUGCGGCUUGAUAUCAUGUUUCUAUUCAGUAGUCAGAUUGGCAAGAUAGUGAAAUUGAUAGACGAAUGGCUUGAUAUUUCUUUCACUGAGUGACCACAAUGGUUAUUAUAUCAAUCCUAGAUAGGCACUGGGGAUACCGUCUCAGAGACAGACUAUUGAGUUAUCUGGUUCCCUUCGUCAAUGCUGAAUCUGUCAAAAUUACAGGUUCAAAUCAUAUAUGAACUCGAUUCUGGGAGACUGCAAUCAUGUUCUGGGAUUUUUUGGUUGUGUCAUGUAAAUAUCAUCAAAAUUUUCGAGUGAGUGCAGUGAGAAUCAACAUCGGGGUGUCCAUGAUAAACCUAGAGAAUACUCCCCCAAAAUGAAUAAAAGCCUAGAGGUCAAAUUCCCCAAUUGUAGUAUUUAUCAAAGGGGAAUGUUGCGAGAUUUUACUGAUUCACAUGAAUUCUCUUUAAACUACCAUCGGAAAACACGAUUAAUCGAUUGAUAGCCAACAGAAAGGUGACAUGCAGUGAUGCACAUCCUGCUCAAAAUCCUAACAGGUUGCAGGAGCCAAUUACAAAAUGGAAGCAUAAUCUCCACCAACCAAAUAGAUGCAAGAGGAGAGACGUCCUACACAGGCAAUGAAUCGCGUGGGGGGAGAAAGAAGAUGGGGGGAAAGGGAAAGGGAAAGGGAAAGGGAGAGGCGAGGCUUACGGCCUCUGGCUUGCCGAUGGUGUCGGCGACGACCUUGGAGGCUUCGGCGAGGAUGGCGGAGGUGUCCACACCCUCCAGGUUGACGUUCGUCGACACGUUCAGGCACGGCAUCCUCAGACCCUCGCUUCGUCUUCCUCUUCCUUCUCCUGCCUGGGUGCUCCUCUGGCCACAGCCGCCUUCUCCGCCUCUGCUCUGC
rnacentral:lncRNA from 1 species